rnacentral:tRNA from 1 species
CAUUAAGUGGCUGAAAAGUAAAGCUUUGAUCUCUUAAAUCAAAUUAUAAUAAAUUAACAAUUAUUCUUAAUG